AGAAUAAAUCUAGUCUAUUUUUGCCUAGUCAUUUAAAAAAAAUGUGUGACGUUUAUCUUACUUGGACCCCAUUUCCGUUAGAUUGUGGGCAAAACGCCUCACCUCACUCUUCAUAAAGAAUUUCCACUCCUAAAACAUUUUCGCAAACCAAUCUAAUUCGUUUCAAAACGCACAAAUAAAUAUAUAAUGUUGGUGUACAAUGUUUUCGAAGAUGUAUGCCUGCACUGUAGCAUGCGUUUAGGCUGCGUUUACACAAGCAGCCCAAUUCUGAUCUUUUUACACUAACUGUCUGUUUGAACAAAUCUAAUUGCAGCCAGUAGACAUCAGCCACUAUGCAGCAGAUCGGUGAAUUUGCCAUUCUGGAAACAAUGUAAAACUUUCAUCUAACCAGUACAGUUUGUUUGGAAACAACAUGUUUUUCACGCCUGUGGUAUUUACAGUACUGCAGCGCCCUCCGGUGGCCAUCGGGUGAAACGACAGCAGCGUAAUAUACUGUGGAGUAGAGCCAGUGACCGAGGUGACGCUGUGUCAUUAAUGUUUAACCCCAAGGUACCGGAGUCACCGGACAUAUGAAAAGUCAUGUGAGAAACUGCACUUUACACUAUACUAAACUGAAGAAAGACAACAUUCACAUCCGACAACGGGGGAGAUGGACAUGAAACAUCUAACUUGUUAAUUUAAUUUAAGACGGUUUGUUGUAUAAGGAGAUAUACAGAACAAACUACACAAGUUGUGGGAAUGGGAAGAAUUCUGGGGUCUCUGCUGCCAGCAGCUCUGCUGAUUGGCUCAGCCCUCUGUAUGGGUGUGGUCAGUCUAACCCUAAGCCACACCUCUAGGGUCAGAGUUCACAAAGGGAGGAGCCUCACACUGACCUGCAUGAACACAACACAUGCAGGUGAGAUAAAACACACACACAAAAGACUACCUUUGUGGAAUGCCACGUACCCCUGUUAUACUGGUGUGUGUGUGUAGGAGUGGUCCAGUACUGGCACACCCCUUUCGGUCGGGUCCAGAACAGCAGUCUUCAUGCCAACCAGAAGGAUGUGAUUUCUAUGCAACGAGAUGGUAGCCUGCGGAUCCACAUUGCUUCUCCUCACCACAGCGGGCUGUACUACUGCCUCCUACUGGCCGGAGGACAAACUACACUCACACCCUACCUGCUGACUGCCAGCAGUUCACAGGACCAUGCUGUCGAACACAGGAGGGCGGUCAGGAGUAUUCUGGGUGGUCAUGCAGAGGAGAGGAAUGUUGCCGUGGUUUCUGACGGUGUGUUUGCGGCGGCGGUGGCAGCAUCAGUAGUGGUGACGUUCCUGGUGGGGUUCAGCUCUGGAGCUUUGAGCAGGACAUUACUGGACAGGUGUGUGAAUUGGGUGCGUUCGCUAGGACAGGAACGUCGUAACCAUGGUGAAACAGUCAGCGUGGCAUUCCGGAAGGAUGUGGAACAAGAGGAUGAGGAUUACCCUGCCUCGACGAUAAGCGUUACCAUGGAGAAUGUAAGCCCAUCUCCACCAGCCAAACCUCAGAGAAGCUUCAGGGGCAAACAUCAUGAAGAGACUGCUUACCUGGAGGGCUUCUACCAGGGGAGAGGAGAGGAAGGGAGGGAGAGGGGAGGAGAA